ACUCUGGCCGCGGCGAUUCAAUAUAUCCGGAAGCAACUGUCAUGGCUGCUGUCAGUGAGGGCCCGUAAUGGAGAUCGAGUCAAGGGUUGCCCAGGGACACUUAAGAGCCUUCGGCUUCAAGGAGGCCUCUCAAAGGACAAAGGAUGAGACUGCCUGGCGGCAGAGUGCCCCCCACAAUCGUAGGAACUGUGUCGCCGCGCUUCCCGUUAACUUGCCGCUAAGUUUUUCUAGAAAAGUCGCCCUUCUUGCCAGGGGUGUCCUAUAGACUUUGUCAUGGAGUGAAACAGAAACAAAUGAGCUAUGGAAAAAUGAACUCCAACUUACACAAAAUCUACUUUAAUUUCUUCAUUCCAGCAUGGAUGAGAUCCACUUGCUGUAUUGGUUUUGUAUACAGUGUGCUGGAAAGAAACUUCCACGAAUGGAUGUACAGUAUCCUGAAA
rnacentral:lncRNA from 1 species